ensembl:lncRNA
CUCUCCCUCACAGCAUCCCGUUUCUUCUGACGCGCUGAGGAAAACAACGACAACAACAACGAUACAUCCCCAACCCGCAGAGCAAGGACAUGCACAAUGCUGGUUUUUAUCUCUCUGUUAAAACAAAUAAGAAUAAAAAUCAGAACCGAAGAAAAUGCUUGCAGACUUCUCUGUCAGUUCUAUAGCCAUUUACAGACCACCACCACCAAGGGCACCUCGGUGAGAAGGGUGAAACAUCCCCGCCUUGUAAUUGUACCACAGUUGUGAAAAUAAAAUUCAUUUCCAAACAUUUCCCUAAGAUGCUGAAAAGCCUGGACCGCCAAAGCAAAAUGCACCAAGACCCCAGCAUUUCAUCUAGCUGUCUAAAAUAUUAAACUUUUCAUAUAUGCGGGAUUGGAAUGCGUUCUUCUCCAAGUGCACUUCAGAGCGCUCGCCCCACAUCAGCAACGGUAGUUCCGGCAUACUGCAAUUUCCCGAUCCCCACGGGAAUGCCUGCAAGGAUUCCAUCUGAAGGUUUAGGCGACAUCCAAAGUUAGUGGGCGCUUCAGCAGCUGAUGUAGAAAUGAUGCUCAGCUCCCCGGCCAUCUUCUCCAGACCGUGCCUCUAAUAAGAACAGUACACUUGCAUGCGUUCCUGAACUACAAUGGGACAGGCCAGUGAUUAAAGUAGUGAAGCAUAGCGCAGUAUCUCUCUGAGCGGAGACGCACCCAGCGGAGGCCCCUGGAAACCGUUAAGGCCGGGGACGUUCUUCGGAGGGAGACGCUCUAUCGCGCCGGUCGCGUCGGAUGCAAAGCGACCCGUUUGAAUUGGCACAAUUACUUAACUUAUCGAUGAAUCCCACAGUGCGGCGAGAAGGAAAAGCGCGUAACAAACUGUACUUCAAAGUGUAAUUUAAGUCCCUAAUUCAGAUCCGGAGUCCGCACGUCAAACUGUCAGAG